CUUGCCACUCAAUGACAGCAUAAUUUUUCAAAUUAUAAUAUUUUCAAAUUAAUACUUGUACACAGGAUUGAUUUGCUGUACUGCUGUAAAUGUUUGCAAGUGCUUGCAUUGUUUUUUGCUGCCGUCAAGCGUUUCAAGAUGGACGGCCAGAAAUGUUGGAAGACGAGGAACUAGAUAAAUUUCCCGUUGAAUAUUGCCAAAUACAAGAAAAGAGCGCGGAUUCUUUGGGGUUUACUCAAGCAACAAUUUCACAACAUUUAAAAGCAAAGAAACCGGCUGUCAUAACAAUUGAAGCCGAGAGAAGUUCAAAAACAGCUUGUCAGAAAUGCUGUUUGAGCGAAAUGAAAUGAGAGCUUUUAUACACUUGAAGUCAUCGUGUUGUGCGUAUUUUCUGGAUUUUCUGAUUUGGCUCUUAUAUAUAUAUAUACAAGUAUAUAUUUGCGAAUUCAAAUACAGCGGCUCAGACUCCAAAACCUAUAUUUUAUAAAAAGAUCAGUCUCGAUACAAAUUUAUGUUGGGAAGGCGUAAGGUCUUCGGAAAAUCCCAUUUUCUUGUACUAGGACUGUAGAAAAAUAUGGGAGAAACCCUGAAUUAAGCGAGUUUUUAAUAUACAAGUUAUUUCUAUAUAUUAAGAAAUAAUAUAUUUCGCGCUAAAAAUAAA